rnacentral:tRNA from 1 species
CAGAGAGUAGUUUAUAGAGAAUAUCA